GACGAACCGUGCGAACGUUGUUCGGAAUCACUGGGCUUAAAGGGCGCGUAGGCGGGCUGACAAGUCUGGGGUGAAAUGCCGCGGCUCACCGUGGAACUGCCUUAGAUACUGUCGGCCUCGAGGAAGGUAGGGGCAUGCGGAACUGUAGGUGGAGCGGUGAAAUGCGUUGAUAUCUACAGGAACUCCGGUGGCGAAAGCGGCGUGCUGGACCUUUUCUGACGCUGAGGCGCGAAAGCUAGGGGAGCAAACGGGGAUUAAGAAACCC
rnacentral:rRNA from 1 species